rnacentral:tRNA from 1 species
GGAGACGUCGCAUAGUGGCCUAGUGCGCCUUCCUGCUAAGAAGGUUGAGGUUGAUAGCCUCUCGCGGGUUCAAAUCCCGCCGUCUCCG